rnacentral:rRNA from 1 species
GAUGAACGCUGGCGGCGUGCCUAAUACAUGCAAGUCGAGCGAACGGACGAGAAGCUUGCUUCUCUGAUGUUAGCGGCGGACGGGUGAGUAACACGUGGAUAACCUACCUAUAAGACUGGGAUAACUUCGGGAAACCGGAGCUAAUACCGGAUAAUAUUUUGAACCGCAUGGUUCAAAAGUGAAAGACGGUCUUGCUGUCACUUAUAGAUGGAUCCGCGCUGCAUUAGCUAGUUGGUAAGGUAACGGCUUACCAAGGCAACGAUGCAUAGCCGACCUGAGAGGGUGAUCGGCCACACUGGAACUGAGACACGGUCCAGACUCCUACGGGAGGCAGCAGUAGGGAAUCUUCCGCAAUGGGCGAAAGCCUGACGGAGCAACGCCGCGUGAGUGAUGAAGGUCUUCGGAUCGUAAAACUCUGUUAUUAGGGAAGAACAUAUGUGUAAGUAACUGUGCACAUCUUGACGGUACCUAAUCAGAAAGCCACGGCUAACUACGUGCCAGCAGCCGCGGUAAUACGUAGGUGGCAAGCGUUAUCCGGAAUUAUUGGGCGUAAAGCGCGCGUAGGCGGUUUUUUAAGUCUGAUGUGAAAGCCCACGGCCCAACCGUGGAGGGUCAUUGGAAACUGGAAAACUUGAGUGCAGAAGAGGAAAGUGGAAUUCCAUGUGUAGCGGUGAAAUGCGCAGAGAUAUGGAGGAACACCAGUGGCGAAGGCGACUUUCUGGUCUGUAACUGACGCCGAUGUGCGAAAGCGUGGGGAUCAAACAGGAUUAGAUACCCUGGUAGUCCACGCCGUAAACGAUGAGUGCUAAGUGUUAGGGGGUUUCCGCCCCUUAGUGCUGCAGCUAACGCAUUAAGCACUCCGCCUGGGGAGUACGACCGCAAGGUUGAAACUCAAAGGAAUUGACGGGGACCCGCACAAGCGGUGGAGCAUGUGGUUUAAUUCGAAGCAACGCGAAGAACCUUACCAAAUCUUGACAUCCUUUGACAACUCUAGAGAUAGAGCCUUCCCCUUCGGGGGACAAAGUGACAGGUGGUGCAUGGUUGUCGUCAGCUCGUGUCGUGAGAUGUUGGGUUAAGUCCCGCAACGAGCGCAACCCUUAAGCUUAGUUGCCAUCAUUAAGUUGGGCACUCUAAGUUGACUGCCGGUGACAAACCGGAGGAAGGUGGGGAUGACGUCAAAUCAUCAUGCCCCUUAUGAUUUGGGCUACACACGUGCUACAAUGGACAAUACAAAGGGCAGCGAAACCGCGAGGUCAAGCAAAUCCCAUAAAGUUGUUCUCAGUUCGGAUUGUAGUCUGCAACUCGACUACAUGAAGCUGGAAUCGCUAGUAAUCGUAGAUCAGCAUGCUACGGUGAAUACGUUCCCGGGUCU